ACACCCAGAAAGUACAGGAAAGGCAGACGACAACUGUGCUCCGCAGAGCGGGAGGUGGGGGGAACGGCGGAAUAUUAAGGUGGGAGCUCAAGAAGCAGAGACUCUACCUGCCCUAGGCGUUCGUGAAGAGAAGCAGCUGUUGCUAUUGGAGGAGGUGGGUGCAAGGACGGCAGAUGCCAUCCCUGAGAGGCGGUGACUGAGACUAGAUGCGGGUACAGGUAGUGCCUCGGAUCCCCGGGCUGCC
rnacentral:lncRNA from 1 species